rnacentral:lncRNA from 1 species
AAGAGCAACUCCAAGAGAAUACUAAAAAAUUCUUCCCCAAAACUAUGUAUUGGGGGUUCUCCCAAAAAAUAUUUCCUCUAAAAAUAUAUCAGUCCACAGCAGAUUGCUAAUAAAUAGCCCCCAAUAUUUCAAACACAGGCCACGUCAUCGUAUUGGGCCCAUCGGAAGGGACGCGUGGGCGUGCGGGAAUCAGGAUUGGGGGAGGAACGCCAACGCUAAAAUAUACACGGUGGCAGGCUGUUUUUUAGCGUUGCUAAAAAAUUGGGGAAGGUUUAGGUGGAUUGUUGGAGUUCAUUUUUUCUCUCUUUUUUCCUAAAAAAGGUAUUGGGG